rnacentral:rRNA from 1 species
UACGAAGGGGGCUAGCGUUGCUCGGAAUCACUGGGCGUAAAGCGCACGUAGGCGGCUUGUUAAGUCAGGGGUGAAAUCCUGGAGCUCAACUCCAGAACUGCCUUUGAUACUGACGAACUUGAGUUCGGGAGAGGUGAGUGGAACUGCGAGUGUAGAGGUGAAAUGCGUAGAUAUUCGGAAGAACACCAGUGGCGAAGGCGGCUCACUGGCCCGAUACUGACGCUGAGGUGCGAAAGCGUGGGGAGCAAACAGG